rnacentral:lncRNA from 1 species
CCUGCCUGAUAACCGGACUCGGAUCAGGUGUGUCGGUGCAUGUAACCGUGAUAAAAACAUGAAAAGAUCUUUGCGCCUUCGGAUUGUGUUGUGUCUCUACAUUUUUUGUUGUUGUUGUCGUCUAGGUGAUAUUUAAUAUUUAAGAAGUAUAAUGCUGAGCGUGACUGAUACGGUUUGUCCGAGAGAUCCUUACUCAGACCCACUCUCUCCGAAACCACGCGUCUUGAAGGACAGAUGCCAGGUUGACUGUCCUCUGCUGAACUCGACGCUCGAUGACGUGUCCGAUGACGAGGUGUCUACUAAGAAAGAAAAUCACUGGAGGCUUGGUCCUGAAGAUCUAAAUGACACCGUAGUGUUUGAUUUCCUUGAUUUGGAGUGAAAGAGCUUUUGCCUGUGUGUGUUUUAACUACAUUUAUGUAAUAUUCAUGUGAAAUAAAAUCAUUUUUAUAAAGAACGUUACA